rnacentral:tRNA from 1 species
AGAAAUCGUAUAAUUGGUAAUACAAAGGUCUGCAAAACCUUUAAUAACAGUUCAAGUCUGUUUUUCGACUA